rnacentral:rRNA from 1 species
UGAGCAAUCUGCCCUUCACAUCGGAAUAACCAUUGGAAACGAUGGCUAAUACCGAAUAUGACUUCGGAUCGCAUGAUCUGAAGUGGAAAGCUCCGGCGGUGAAGGAUGAGCUCGCGGCCCAUCAGCUUGUUGGUGAGGUAAUAGCUCACCAAGGCGAUGACGGGUAGCCGGCUGAGAGGGUGACCGGCCACACUGGGACUGAGACACCGGCAGA